rnacentral:rRNA from 1 species
UACGGGGGGAGCAAGCGUUGUUCGGAUUUACUGGGCGUAAAGGGCGCGUAGGCGGUCAGCACAAGUCAGUUGUGAAAUCUCCGGGCUUAACUCGGAAAGGUCAACUGAUACUGUGCGACUAGAGUGCAGAAGGGGCAACUGGAAUUCUCGGUGUAGCGGUGAAAUGCGUAGAUAUCGAGAGGAACACCUGCGGCGAAGGCGGGUAGCUGGGCCGACACUGACGCUGAGGCGCGAAAGCCAGGGAGCGAACGGG